UACAUUUUUUAAAUUUGUUUUUCAAAAAUACCGGUUCAUCACCCUAACCAUCCAAAACCGGAACCGGCCACUGGCCGGUUCCAUUCUAACCGGGCGAUUAGUGGUUAGAUCAGGCAAUUUUGUAAAGAAUAUGAACAUGCAUUCUCAUGUACCAUUUUUACUUUUGCUAUUUUGUGUCAGUUUUACAUCUUUAUUCCUGGAGCUGUAAUCAACAAUUGAUUUUGUCAUUUGCUAAAUUGGAAAUUUAGUUGGGAGACUUUGUGUUGAGAAUGAGAGUCUGGUCAAUAAAUUGCCAACUAGGGAGCUGUGAAAUGCACGUGAGUUAGAACUAGGAAAUGAAAUAUAAUUGCUUUCAAGGAAGAAACAACUUUUGAGGUUUAUAAACGUCUAGUUCUAGGUGUUACUCUUUGUUCUAUGGACAAAGAGUAGGCGUUCUUUGGGUAGAUUUUAGGGUUAAGCAUCAUCAUGUCCAUUGUUAUUAUGAUUGUCUAUCCUAUGGAAUAUUUCCAAUCAUUGUUUGCUAAUUUACUGCACAUAUGUGUUCCAAAUCAAAAAACAAUUGUCUUCUUUUCUGACGAUAGUAUUUUGUAAAUAUUUUUCUCGUUGCAGUUUUUAAUAGUGAUUACUCAAAUACUGGAUUGAGAGUUGAUUAACAUAAUGGAUGGAGAUGCAUUUUUAUAAAACAAAGAAAGAAAAACAAAAUAGGGUGGAGAUACCUUGAAUAAAGAGUUUCAUGUUUGGUUAAUGACGAACUAUUGUUGUGCGUAGUAAGUAGUAUUGAGCUUUAUAACUCACUUUAUAAGAGGAUCUUGCGUUUGCUUUCCAAGCAUAUGUUGCUGAAAAAGAAGGGUUACUAAUUUAUAAGAUGACAGAGCAUAAAAGACAAAUUUGUGAGGGAUACAAUGUGAUGUUACCAAAAGCUGACAACCCUUUACUCUACUGCUGCCUGGUGGAUUGGCAAUGCCAUGUGAAUUAUAUGUUUCAGCAAAAAAUAUAUACAGGGAGACACUAGCAAAAAUUGGAGACAAGAAGCAAUAGAAAUGGGAAAUUGAACAUCGUUUCAACUGCUUUCAACAACUUAAUUGUGUUUUCAAAUCUCCCACUCGCGGGCCACCUCGAGCUCUAAGCAAUGGCUUCUCCAAGGCGUCAAGUACUCAGGGUAGGUGAAGGUUAUUGUAGCUGACAUGUUCGGCUCUGACAGAUGCGGCUUUACACGUGCAGUACGGACAAGUGCGGUAUUGGUAGCGUUCCCCCUUCUCUGACAAUACUCCAGUUCACACGUGGCGAUGCACCAAAUGGCACUACACUGGCGGCGAUGCUCAAAUUUUCACUCGCCGCAAUGCCUUUUUGGAUGCGCGCUAGGUCACAGACGGCGUUGAGCUCUUAUACACGCGCGACGAUACUUCAAACGGUGCUAGGCCUCUGUUUCACCCUCCAUCGUUGUGCACAUCUCUGGACUGAGAGAAUAUUGUGGUCCUUACAGAUGUUCUUUUUUAAUAGGACUAUUAAAGUGCAAUCCAUGUGCAGUUUAAGAUUCCAAAUGGUAGUCGAAUAUGCACAGGAUAAUUCCAAUGGUUAAUUAUGAAUUAUUUUCAUGCUAGGGAAAAUACGGUUCCAGUGGUUAAAAAUGGAACAAAAUAGUAUCAAAACUUUCUUGUUUAUAGUUUUUUAUAAUCAAGGCUAUAUGCCAAUACUUUCUAUAUCCAUGACUAUUUAAUAACAAUCUUCAAGCAUAAUGAUCAGAGUAAAGUAUAAAAUGUGAAGCUACUUCCUAGUCUAGGAUCUCUACCGAUCUCUGAUGCUUCUACAAUAGGAACCACUAUAGGGCCCUUUUGGCAACCAUAGAUCCAGCCGAAAGACCUUGAAACCUAAAUAACUACUAGAAUGUAAAACCAUAUGUGUUUUUGGC